rnacentral:rRNA from 1 species
AGCGAACGCUGGCGGCAUGCUUAACACAUGCAAGUCGCACGGGCAGCAAUGUCAGUGGCGGACGGGUGAGUAACGCGUAGGUAUCUAUCCCUGGGUGGGGGACAACUUCGGGAAACUGAAGCUAAUACCGCAUGACACCUGAGGGUCAAAGGCGCAAGUCGCCUGGGGAGGAGCCUGCGUACGAUUAGCUAGUUGGUGGGGUAAAAGCCUACCAAGGCGACGAUCGUUAGCUGGUCUGAGAGGAUGAUCAGCCACACUGGGACUGAGACACGGCCCA